rnacentral:rRNA from 1 species
AUACGGAGGGUGCAAGCGUUAUUCGGAAUCACUGGGCGUAAAGGGUGCGUAGGCGGUUUGAUAAGUCUGAUGUGACAUCCUAUGGCUCAACCAUAGAACUGCAUUGGAAACUGUCAGACUAGCAUACUGAAGGGGCAGAUGGAAUUAGUGGUGUAGGGGUAAAAUCCGUAGAUAUCACUAGGAAUACCGAAAGCGAAAGCGAUCUGCUGGGAAGUUAUUGACGCUGAGGCACGAAAGCGUGGGGAGCAAACGGGAUUAGAUACCCUAGUAGUCC